GGGGCUAGAUGAGUAGUCGCUGCCUUACUGUAAUGGUAGGGGAGAGGAAAGUCCGGGCUUCACAGGGCAAGGAUGCCAGCUAACGGCUGGUGGAGGUAACUCCAAGGAUAGUGCAACAGAAAGAAACCGCUCAUAGCAAUAUGAGCAAGGGUGGAAAGGCGGUGUAAGAGACCACCGUACCGUUGGUAACAACGGUAG
rnacentral:RNase_P_RNA from 1 species